UAGGGAAUCUUCCACAAUGGACGCAAGUCUGAUGGAGCAACGCCGCGUGAGUGAAGAAGGUCUUCGGAUCGUAAAGCUCUGUUGUUGGUGAAGAAGGAUAGAGGUAGUAACUGGUCUUUAUUUGACGGUAAUCAACCAGAAAGUCACGGCUAACUACGUGCCAGCAGCCGCGGUAAUACGUAGGUGGCAAGCGUUGUCCGGAUUUAUUGGGCGUAAAGCGAGCGCAGGCGGAAUGAUAAGUCUGAUGUGAAAGCCCACGGCUCAACCGUGGAACUGCAUCGGAAACUGUCAUUCUUGAGUGCAGAAGAGGAGAGUGGAACUCCAUGUGUAGCGGUGGAAUGCGUAGAUAUAUGGAAGAACACCAGUGGCGAAGGCGGCUCUCUGGUCUGCAACUGACGCUGAGGCUCGAAAGCAUGGGUAGCGAACAGGAUUAGAUACCCUGGUAGUCCAUGCCGUAAACGAUGAGCGCUAGGUGUUGGGGACUUUCCGGUCCUCAGUGCCGCAGCAAACGCAUUAAGCGCUCCGCCUGGGGAGUACGACCGCAAGGUUGAAAC
rnacentral:rRNA from 1 species